CAUUGAGCAAUACGGUGUUUUUCGUCCUAGUCAUCAGAACGUUGAGAGAAGGUUCACCAAGUCCUCCGAAGUUGUUUGGUGACACACAAUACAUCUGCUUUAAAAUUAGAUCAGUUUGCUUUGUAGUUAUUCGUCCUAGUCAUCAGAACGUCGAGAGAAGGUUCACCAAGUCCUCCGAAGUUGUUUGGUGACACACAAUACAUCUGGUUUAAGAUUAGAUCAGUUUGCUUUAUAGUUAUUCAUCAGUACAUGUCGAGAAAUAGGUUCACUAAGUCCUCCGAAGUUGUUUGGUGACACACAAUACAUCUGCUUUAAAAUUAGAUCAGUUUGCUUUGUAGUUAUUCGUCCUAGUCAUCAGAACGUCGAGAGAAGGUUCACCAAGUCCUCCGAAGUUGUUUGGUGACACACAAUACAUCUGGUUUAAGAUUAGAUCAGUUUGCUUUAUAGUUAUUCAUCAGUACAUGUCGAGAAAUAGGUUCACCAAGUCCUCCGAAGUUGUUUGGUGACACACAAUACAUCUGCUUUAAAAUUAGAUCAGUUUGCUUUGUAGUUAUUCGUCCUAGUCAUCAGAACGUCGAGAGAAGGUUCACCAAGUCCUCCGAAGUUGUUUGGUGACACACAAUACAUCUGAUUUAAAAUUAGAUCAGUUGGCUUUGUAGUUAUUUGUCCUAGUCAUCAGUACAUGUCGAGAAAAAGGUUCACCAAGUCUUCCGAAGUUGUUUGGUGACACACAAUACAUCUGCUUUAAAAUUAGAUCAGUUUGCUUUGUAGUUAUUCGUCCUAUUCAUCAAUACAUGUCGAGAAAAAGGUUCACCAAGUCCUCUGAAGUUGUUUGGU